rnacentral:sRNA from 1 species
AAAACACACACAUAUUUUAAGCGGUUUUAGAGAUUGAGACACAAUGACUCCACACUUCAUCCCUCUUCUUCAAGUAUUGUGUUUCACGGCCAAUUAAGCUUGGUCUGUCAGCAAUAUAUUUAAUGAGAUUAUCGUGACACACUUUUCCUUCUUGGACAAGAUCGUUGCAACAAGCCUCAAUGAGGGUUCCAUUUCCAAAAACAACAGU